UCUGAAGCUCAAUUCAAGACCUCAUUGUCUGAUCAAAAAUAAAAUAAAAUUCAAGACCUCGUUUUCUUUCUGAAAACUCCGUAAACACAGACUGAAAAACCUAUAUAUAAUAAGUUAAAGCACGGAUGGGGGUUCGCCGGUUCGUGUGAGACCCAAUGGAACGAAGAAUUCGGAGAAGAAGAAUUGAUAUCAACACCAUCUUCGUUCUCUAACUGCGGAAAUUGGCAACGUCGAUGCCCUUCGCCAUGCUUUUGAGAAACCAACACUCAAUGAUGAUUAACAUCAACAUUUACAUAGCCGGAUCCUUUGUCACCGUACAAUGAUAGUCGUAGACUAAUUAAGUAGAAGGAUUUCAAGAUAUGCUGUUUGAUAGCAGCAGCGAAGGCAUUGGUGUCAGGGACGGGGGGUCGUGAGUUCGAAGCUUUGAUGUUAAAGACGAAGUUCAUAACUGGUGCUUGCUGGCACCGUUUUUAUGUGAAUGGGUGUCAAUUUAUUAAAUCCCAAGUUUGAUACGCAAAGUAUUGGAAGGCGAAGUGUUAUCACUCAGAUGUUUAGUGUUUUCAAGACUAACGGAUAUGUGAACUGUGGGUUAUGAUGACUAUCUUUGUUGGUGGGAUGUGUGAGGGAUUUGAUCUUGAAAAAAAGAAUAGACCAAGAAGCAUUGCUCUCUCAGAUUGUGGGGCAGUCAUUACCCAUAUGCAAUGUUUAUUUUAUCUACUGACGCAAAGAGGAAAACUCCCACCUGGAUCCAUGGAUUACCUUUGUUUGGAGAAACCAUUCAUUUCUUCAUCCCCAACAACUCAAUAUAGAUGCUCAUGUUUCUCAAAAAGAGAUUAGCCAGAUAUGGUUGUGCCCAAACCUAUGGAGUUUGAAGCUAAAUCCACAAGAAAUGAAUCCCUUGAAGGAGUUUAUCUUCGUGGUAAGCGACUAACUGUUGCACUUGCUGCUUUCGGAGCAACAAUUGCGCACAAGAUCACCUUCUCCGCGGAGGAGGAUGACUUUGUAAAGAAAGGGGGCGAGAUGACAUGUUUGAACAUGCUAAUAUCUUAUUUGCUUUGAAGUUACUGGAUUCCAACGAUAUACCUGACAGCCUCUUUGCUUUUUUCAUAGUUCGGAUAUUUCUCAUUUGGAGACAGUACUGUUAUCUGUGUCUUCGGAAAGGAUACAACAAAGAUAGAUGAAUACCUCAUUGCAAUUGGUGAUAAAUCAAUAGAGACUUUGGUUACUGUUGGAAUGGGUGUUGCAAGAAACAAGAUGGAAUCAGCUUGCUUGCUGCUCAUCCAAUCUCCUAACUUGGUAUGUAAAAAUUAUGAUGUGACCGUCUGCAACGAAUUAUUGGGAUUUUCCAGUUGGUUGAAAAUAUGAUCACAAUGCAGUCAUGAAAAGAAUGCACUGGCCCUGUUUAACUCAGAAAUUUGCAAUUUAUUGUCUAUUUCCUCCAAAGAUUGCUGUAUGGACACGUCAUUUACUGUGUUGGAUGGAAAGUAGUUGUUUAUAAAUAGUGGAGAGAUUGUUAUUCGUGUUUCUUGCGAAUCAGAUUCAAAAUUCAGUAUUUCUCUCUCUCUCUUCUUUUCCGUCUUCAGUUGUGGUGAACAUAAAUCUACGCAGGUUAUGGCUUCCAAAGCCUGCAUUUCUCUCAUAUACGAGGAAGGUACUGUGAUUGCUGGCAUUUUAGCUAGAUGGAGAGCUUCAGAUACUACUCAACGUUCGGUGAUGGUAAAUGUACAAUGUAUGGUGAUGGUAAAUACUCGAGCAACAGCGUAUGCUCCCCUUUAGGUACAUGGUAAAUUUCAAAAUAACGCUGAUAUAACGGGUAACCGAUAGAUAGAUGGGUGUUUUAAGACAUUGAAAGUUGGGGUGUAACCCUAAAGACCCAAGGUCCCAAACCCUCACCUCUACCGCCGUUCCAAUCUCAAAAUACUCUGUGUAUCUUUCGAUCUCUGCACUUAGGUGAAAGGAAGAUCAAGUGAUCAAGAUGGAUGAUCUGGAAGUUGUUGGAAGAAAAGUUGAGUUUUUAAGGUUGUUGAUAGAGAAAAGGAAGAAGAAAAGGAAGAAAAAAAAAGAUGGGUUCUCUACGGGGUUGGAUUUUGGUAUAGGCGGACUCGGAAGUGAUGGUCUUUUGCAAAAGAAUCCCCUACUGUUCUUGGGUAACUGAUUACAGGAGCUGAUGUAAAACCAACGCAGGUGUUUGGCUGGAGCAAAGGUGAAAAGGCUGAUUUUUGCAAAAUGCCCAAAGACCUAAAAUUUCCUAGUGUUCUUUUUUUAUAAAUGAUCUUCGGUUUGAGAGGACUCGGAAAUGCAGUUUCCGGAGAUGAGGAUGCAUUCAAUGCUAGUUUCAUUUUAUGAAAAGGUUUGUAGUUGGUAGAUCUUGUCGUAGGUUUGUGGAUUCAAGUGGUCGAAUUAGCAUCUGGUGGAAAUGAUAAAAGGCUAUUUUCUUGGAAUCAACAUUCAACACAAGCAGUGUUGGAAUACUGUGAGCAUACAGCUGCUGUAAAAGCAAUUGAGUGGUCCUAACAUUUACAUGGACUUCUUGCAUCCGGUGGUGGUACUGCAGACAGAUGCAUUCAUUAUGGAAUACCCACAUUCACACCUUAGGUGCAUGGAAACUGGGAGUCAGAUAAUUGUUACAGGAGCAGGCGAUGAAACACUUAGGUUUUGGAAUGUAUUUUCUUCUCCAAAAUCUCAUAUAACAAUCCAGAAGAUGUUGCUUUGCUAAAUGCUUUGGUAACUGCAAGGGGCAAGCAUAAUGUUAUGGCCAAGAACUAUUCACUCUUCUAAGUCAUAAAGCUAGAAUAAAUUGGAUCAAGAAUGAAGCUGCCGAUACAAAAAUAUUUCAUGCUAACUUGAAGAUCAGACAAGUGCAGAAUACUAUUAGUGAUUGGAAGAGAACAAAUUCAAAUACCAGGAAGUAGAAUUUGAUGAAGAUGUGUUUAGUGCAGUUCCUAAAGUAAUCAGUGAGGCAGAUAAUGAAACGAUGGAGGUUGCACCUGAUUUGGAUGAGAUUAAAAUGGCUGUUUUUGACCUCAAUCUGAAUGGAGCUCCAGGGCCAGAUGGUUUCCCAGGCUGUUUCUAUAGGGCGAGUUGGCAUAUUAUUGGGUCUGAUCUUGUUGAUGCUUUGAUAUUCUGUUGGAGUAAUAAGUUCAUCCCUAAAGGCUUAAAUUCUAAACUCUUGAUUCUGAUACCGGGUGCUAAGAAGACUUCUCAGUCCAGGCCAAUAGGUCUUUACCAAGAAAGAUGCCUGCAAGAGGAUAUAUUGCUUGCUUCUGAACUUGUGAAGAGGAGAGGUGGGAGGGAGUGUGGGUCUAAAACUGGAAGUUACCCAAGCAUAUGAUUCAUUAAGAUACAUUCAUUGAAAUUCAUUAAAACUGGAAUUUCAUUUUUGAAGCUCUGAAACAUUUUGGUCUUUCUCCUUUCUGUACGUGGUUGUUGGUGUUAUUUAAACUUCAAGGAUCUCUAUCGCACUAAAUGGUGGUAACAAACGUAUUUAGACAA